GGUUUUAAACCUACAGACCUUCGAGAUUGCAAGACGUAAGUUAACUAACACUAAGGUAUAGGGCCUCUUACUCUCUCGAUACAUAGUGCAAUGAACGCUCACUUGCAUUGGAUGUCUGACCGGUAGUGACGUCGUUCCAAUUUUAAAAUGAAAAUGUGUUAGUGGUUUUUUUAUUUUAUUUAUGGAAUGGCUUUCUUGGAGGUGGCGAUCGAAGCCGACGUGAGCCGCUUCGAGGACCCUGACUUCGAGGAGGUGGCUCGCAGGAACUGUAACGAGCAUCCAGAGACAAGACAGAAGGUCAUUCAGGAACUACGUUCUAUGAUCAUUGAGCGCGGCGAAUGCCAC